GUGUCACGGACUCUCGGUGUAGUAUCCCUUUGUACAGCCAUCCACAUCGGCCAAUCGACUCCGGACAUCCACUCUCAUUGUGACUGAGUACGACGGCAGAGCGGACUCACCUGUGAAUAUGUACAGACAAGAGGAUAAUUCCGCCCGGUGAAGAAAUGCGACGAUUCGUGGAACGAGAGUCGAUCGAAUAUCAAAGGGACAUGGAUUGUUCCUCCGCACGUAUCUGUUUUUCAAAUUUGGAUUAUUUACUAACCCCUUUUUAUAUUCAAAUGUAGACAAACCAAAAAAUAGGCUAACGAUGGCCUAUUUUAAUAUCAGUCCAUCGACCAGCCAAAUUAAUAUAGCCACGAUUUUAUGUCAGAAACUGAGUUCAACAAUUUCGAAUACCAAUAUUUUUGCGCGCGUGUAAUGAUGAAUUAUUGGUUGAAAGUUGAAUUUUUUAAUUUUCCCGUUCCGGCUCAACACGAAAUUGGCGUUUCCUAUCCUAUCCUAGUAGGUUUUUCUUUUAGGUUAAAUCUUCUUUUUACCGUUAUGAGUAAAAACUGUACUCAACUCUGAAGCGACGAGUAGGUGGCACUAAACAUUCUUCUGGGGCCAGUUUCAGAAAGGUGAUGCCCUUCUUCAGUACAAACUGCUUUAAAAUAUGCACAAUCUCUUGAUGCUAAUUGAAAUGUCUACCUUCUGGCCACAAAGUCACACCAAGAGACACAAUACUCAGGAGAAUGUGAAUUUUGUUGCGAGUCUAUUUCUCUUAAAUUUUUUUUCUAUGAACAUGGGCGUAUAGUCAGCGAGAACUCGCCUACAAUACAACCAAUCGUAAUCGCGUAGUGUAUAACAGAAGUUUGGAAAAUGGUUGAUUUUAGUAAACACAGCUGCUUUCGUUCCGAUCCGAUCUCCGUUGUUUAUUUAACUUUUUAAUUCGAUUUGAAGGAACUUAUUACGAAAGAUUCUGACAGGUAAUGUCAGGUCAAUUAACUUAAGAAUCAAAACUCAUUACUAGAUGUCGCCAGUGGCGCCCUUGUUGUUCUUCCAUCGUGAAAAGAGACGAAACAAAUUGUUGCUAAAUUUGGUAAAAUUUUAAAUUUAUACUUGUACUUGUGAUACCAAAUUGAACUUCGUAUUUUAUGACAGUUUAUCUUACCUAGUGUCGUUAUUUUAUUGGUUAACUUAUUUCUUCAAAUUCUAGAUGCAUACUGUCAAGUCAAGUUGACUUAGUUAAUAGCGCUCAGUCAAUUUCCAUCCAUUUAGAUCCUUAUGCUGUCAAAAGCCUGAAACUCAUGUUUGAAGCACACAUUUAAUUAGAAAUGUGUUAUAUUUGGUUUUCCCCGUGUGAUUUUUAUUUCUU